rnacentral:tRNA from 1 species
AUUGUCUUGGCAGAAUAGUGCUUUAAAUUUAGAAUUUAAUUAUAUAUUGAUUCAAUAUAGUCAAUA